rnacentral:rRNA from 1 species
UGGGGAAUAUUGGACAAUGGACCGCAAGUCUGAUCCAGCAAUUCUGNGUGCACGAUGACGUUUUUCGGAAUGUAAAGUGCUUUCAGUCGGGAAGAAGUCAGUGACGGUACCGACAGAAGAAGCGACGGCUAAAUACGUGCCAGCAGCCGCGGUAAUACGUAUGUCGCAAGCGUUAUCCGGAUUUAUUGGGCGUAAAGCGCGUCUAGGCGGCAAGGAAAGUCUGAUGUGAAAAUGCGGAGCUCAACUCCGUAUGGCGUUGGAAACUGCCUUACUAGAGUACUGGAGAGGUAGGCGGAACUACAAGUGUAGAGGUGAAAUUCGUAGAUAUUUGUAGGAAUGCCGAUGGGGAAGCCAGCCUACUGGACAGAUACUGACGCUAAAGCGCGAAAGCGUGGGUAGCAAACAGGAUUAGAUACCCUGGUAGUCCACGCUGUAAACGAUGAUUACUAGGUGUUGGGGGUCAAACCUCAGCGCCCAAGCUAACGCGAUAAGUAAUCCGCCUGGGGAGUACGUACGCACGUAUG